GUUGUACUUAACCCUUUCCCGGCUUUAGCCGUCAUAUGACGGCAGCGGUAGUGAUAAUUUUCAAAAAAUCGUUGUGGGCACUGUGUUGGAGCUAUGCACACACUGUAGGUACCAGCACAUGCACAUUGGGCUGCUCUUUCACAUGGUAUCUUUAAUAUCUUGCCUUGAGGUACGCUUUGUGCAGUACUGUCAAAAGAAAAGUGACCGUUUGAUAAUGGCUACAAGAUCUUUGUAGUACAACCUCAGCGAGGUUCUAGGGCAGCUAGACAGUGAGAAUAACGAUGCUUAUGGCCUUGUUGAGUAAGAGGACAGUGACUGGGAUCAUACCAAGAGAGGAAGCUACUUUUCAGAGGUCAAGCUAUAAACAUAGAGCCUGAAGAGCCAGAGGAAGAAGCUCCUGAGCAUGAACCAAAGUCCUGGACCUUGUGAAGAAAACAUUUCCCGGGAAAAGAGCGUCUGCCGAUACGACCUCGCAGAGAAGUUUCUGCUGAUCCUGAUUGAACCAUGUCACCGUGAGAACAUUGAGAACACUUACUUAGUGUUUUUAGUUACUUCAUGCCUUCAUACAAUAUUCUUUAUGUUCAUAA